rnacentral:rRNA from 1 species
GACGAACGCUGGCGGCGUGCCUAAUACAUGCAAGUCGAGCGAAUCGAUGGGAGCUUGCUCCCUGAGAUUAGCGGCGGACGGGUGAGUAACACGUGGGUAACCUGCCUGUAAGACUGGGAUAACUUCGGGAAACCGGAGCUAAUACCGGAUACUUUCUUUUCUCGCAUGAGGGAAGAUGGAAAGAUGGUUCUGCUAUCACUUACAGAUGGACCCGCGGCGCAUUAGCUAGUUGGUGAGGUAACGGCUCACCAAGGCAACGAUGCGUAGCCGACCUGAGAGGGUGAGCGGCCAUACUGGGACUGAGACACGGCCCAGACUCCUACGGGAGGCAGCAGUAGGGAAUCUUCCGCAAUGGACGAAAGUCUGACGGAGCAACGCCGCGUGAGCGAAGAAGGCCUUCGGGUCGUAAAGCUCUGUUGUUAGGGAAGAACAAGUACGAGAGUAACUGCUCGUACCUUGACGGUACCUAACCAGAAAGCCACGGCUAACUACGUGCCAGCAGCCGCGGUAAUAC